AUUGAACGCUGGCGGCAGGCCUAACACAUGCAAGUCGAGCGGAGCGGCGGACGGGUGAGUAAUGCCUAGGAAUCUGCCUGGUGGUGGGGGAUAAAGUCCGGACACGGGCGCUAAUAGCGCAUACUAUCAGAUUAGCCUAGGUGGGAUUAGCUAGUUGGUUGGGUAAAGGCACACCAAGGCGACGAUCCGUAACUGGUCUGGGAGGGUGAUCAGUCACACGGGAACUGAGACACGGGCCAGACUCCCACGGGAGGCAGCAGGGGGGAAUAUUGGACAAUGGGCGAAAGCCUGAUCCAGCCAUGCCGCGUGUGUGAAGAAGGUCUUAGGAUUGUAAAGCACUUUAAGUUGGGAGGCGUUACCAACAGAAUAAGCACCGGCUAACUGCGUGCCAGCAGCCGCGGUAAUUC
rnacentral:rRNA from 1 species